rnacentral:rRNA from 1 species
GGCCUUAGUAGGGAAUCUUCCGCAAUGGACGAAAGUCUGACGGAGCAACCCCGCGUGAACGAUGAAGGUCUUCGGAUCGUAAAGUUCUGUUGUCAGGGAAGAACAAGUACCGUGCGAAUAGAGCGGUACCUUGACGGUACCUGACGAGGAAGCCCCGGCUAACUACGUGCCACCAGCCGCGGUAAUACGUAGGGGGCAAGCGUUGUCCGGAAUUAUUGGGCGUAAAGCGCGCGCAGGCGGUUCCUUAAGUCUGAUGUGAAAGCCCACGGCUCAACCGUGGAGGGUCAUUGGAAACUGGGGAACUUGAGUACAGACUAGGAGAGUGGAAUUCCACGUGUAGCGGUGAAAUGCGUAGAUAUGUGGAGGAACACCCGUGGCGAAGGCGACUCUCUGGUCUGUAACUGACGCUGAUGCGCGAAAGCGUGCGCAGCACACAGGAUUAGAUACCCUGGUAGUCCACGCCGUAAACUAUGAGUGCUAGGUGUUAGCUGGCUUCCACACACUUAGUGCUGAAGUUAACGCAUUAAGCACUCCGCCUGGGCAGUACGGCCGCUAGGCUGAAACUAAAAGGAAUUGACGCGGGGCCCGCACUAGCGG